rnacentral:snoRNA from 1 species
CCUGCUCAAAUGAUGAAAUAUUCCGGAUGUUAAUCACAGACCUGUUCCGAAUGCGUAAAACCAUGUGGAUAUUUCCGUUGCCUUCCUUCUGAUUGAGCAC